GGGGCAUUGGUCUAGCGGUGAGGACGCCGGGUGUUCACCCCGGAGAGCGACGGUUCGACUCCGUCAUGCCCUG
rnacentral:tRNA from 2 species